rnacentral:rRNA from 1 species
UGAAAUUGAUCUCCCCGUGCAGAAGCGGGGAUAAUACCAUAAUACGAGAAGACCCUAUGGAGCUUUACACGGCAGAGCAGCCCAUGUAAAGCACCCCUUAACAAAGGAAAAAACCAAAUGAAGCCUGACCUAAUGUCUUUGGUUGGGGCGACCGCGGGGAAAUACAAAACCCCCAUGNGGAGUAGGAAUACACAUUCCUAAACCCAAGAGCUCCCGCUCUAAUGAACAGAAAUUCUGACCAAUAAGAUCCGGNACACGCCGAUCAACGGACCGAGUUACCCUAGGGAUAACAGCGCAAUCCCCUUAAAGAGCCCUUAUCGACAGGGGGUUUACNACCUCGAUGUUGNAUCAGGACAUCCUAAUGGUGCAUCCGCUAUUAAGGGUUCGUUUGUUCGACCAA